rnacentral:rRNA from 1 species
AAUAUUGGACAAUGGGCGAAAGCCUGAUCCAGCCAUGCCGCGUGUGUGAAGAAGGUCUUCGGAUUGUAAAGCCCUUUAAGUUUGGAGGAAGGGCUGUAGGUUAAUACCCUGCAAUUUUGACGUUACCAACAGAAUAAGCACCGGCUAUCUUCGUGCCAGCAGCCGCGGGAAUACGAAGGUGUCAAGCGUUAAUCGGAAUUCCUGGGCGUAAAGCACGCGUAGGUGGUUCGUUAAGUUGGAAGUGAAAGCCCCGGGCUUAACCUGGGAAUUGAUUUCAAAACUGACGAGCUAGAGUACGGUAGAGGGUAGUGGAAUUUCCUGUGUAGCGGUGAAAUGCGUAGAUAUAGGAAGGAACAUCAGUGGCGAAGGCGACUACCUGGACUGAUACUGACACUGAGGUGCGAAAGCGUGGGGAGCAAACAGG